rnacentral:rRNA from 1 species
AACGAACGCUGGCGGCAGGCUUAACACAUGCAAGUCGAACGGGCACCUUCGGGUGUCAGUGGCAGACGGGUGAGUAACGCGUGGGAACGUACCCUUCGGUUCGGAAUAACCCAGGGAAACUUGGGCUAACACCGGAUACGUCCGCAAGGAGAAAGAUUUAUCGCCGAAGGAUCGGCCCGCGUCGGAUUAGCUAGUUGGUGGGGUAAUGGCCCACCAAGGCGACGAUCCGUAGCUGGUCUGAGAGGAUGANCAGCCACACUGGGACUGAGACACGGCCCAGACUCCUACGGGAGGCAGCAGUGGGGAAUAUUGGACAAUGGGCGAAAGCCUGAUCCAGCCAUGCCGCGUGAGUGAAGAAGGCCUUAGGGUUGUAAAGCUCUUUCAGCGGGGAAGAUAAUGACGGUACCCGCAGAAGAAGUCCCGGCUAACUUCGUGCCAGCAGCCGCAGUAAC